rnacentral:rRNA from 1 species
GACAGAGGCCUCAAGCGUUAGGCGGAAUCACUGGGCUUAAAGCGUGUGUAGGCAGAUCGUUAAGUGCCUUGUGAAAUCCCACGGCUUAACUGUGGAACGGCUGGGCAUACUGGCGGUCUUGGGCCAUCUAGGGGCGACUGGAACAAACGGUGGAGCGGUGAAAUGCGUAGAUAUCGUUUGGAACGCCAAUGGUGAAAACAGGUCGCUGGGGAUGAGCUGACGCUGAGACCCGAAAGCCAGGGGAGCAAACGGG